rnacentral:rRNA from 1 species
AUUGAACGCUGGCGGCAGGCUUAACACAUGCAAGUCGAGCGGGGUGAUGGUGCUUGCACUAUCACUUAGCGGCGGACGGGUGAGUAAUGCUUAGGAAUCUGCCUAUUAGUGGGGGACAACAUCUCGAAAGGGAUGCUAAUACCGCAUACGUCCUACGGGAGAAAGCAGGGGAUCUUUAUGACCUUGCGCUAAUAGAUGAGCCUAAGUCGGAUUAGCUAGUUGGUGGGGUAAAGGCCUACCAAGGCGACGAUCUGUAGCGGGUCUGAGAGGAUGAUCCGCCACACUGGGCCUGAGACACGGCCCAGACUCCUACGGGAGGCAGCAGUGGGGAAUAUUGGACAAUGGGGGGAACCCUGAUCCAGCCAUGCCGCGUGUGUGAAGAAGGCCUUAUGGUUGUAAAGCACUUUAAGCGAGGAGGAGGCUCUUUUGGUUAAUACCCAGAAUGAGUGGACGUUACUCGCAGAAUAAGCACCGGCUAACUCUGUGCCAGCAGCCGCGGUAAUAC